GACGACGACGUGCUGUUCGAGGAUGUGUACGAGCUGUGCGAGGUGAUCGGAAAGGGUCCCUUCAGUGUUGUACGACGAUGUAUCAACAGAGAAACUGGGCAACAAUUUGCUGUAAAAAUUGUUGAUGUAGCCAAGUUCACAUCAAGUCCAGGGUUAAGUACAGAAGAUCUAAAGCGGGAAGCCAGUAUCUGUCAUAUGCUGAAACAUCCACACAUUGUAGAGUUAUUGGAGACAUAUAGCUCAGAUGGAAUGCUUUACAUGGUUUUCGAAUUGUGAGUGUGUAUUUUAAUUCUUAAAGGGUAAAACUUGAAGCAAUGUUGGUGUUGGAUAAUGCUAACACUUUUCUCUUGAAAUUUAGCAGUAGUUGUGAACUUAUCUGUUCAGAAAGACCUAAAGUCACAAGAAAAAAGGAUUAUGUCAUCAUAAGGUUUACAGUGGCAAAGGAAGCAAAAGCUGGGCAUAUUCAGUUACUCUUCAUGCUUUCAGCAUGCUUCAGAGAAGAGACUCCAAAAGGAAAUUGAGUUCAGAGGAAUAGGAGGACCCCAAACUAUAAACUUCUGACCAGUAGAAGUCUUAGUGAAGAAGAGUAGGAUGAAAGUGGAGGCAUCCAUGUAGCAAGACUCUUGGCAACUAAAAACAA
rnacentral:lncRNA from 1 species